UUGAACGCUGGCGGCAUGCCUUACACAUGCAAGUCGAACGGCAGCACGGGAGCACUCCUGGUGGCGAGUGGCGAACGGGUGAGUAAUAUAUCGGAACGUGCCCAGUCGUGGGGGAUAACGCAGCGAAAGCUGUGCUAAUACCGCAUACGAUCUACGGAUGAAAGCAGGGGAUCGCAAGACCUUGCGCUUUAGGAGCGGCCGAUGUCGGAUUAGCUAGUUGGUGAGGUAAAGGCUCACCAAGGCGACGAUCCGUAGCGGGUCUGAGAGGAUGAUCCGCCACACUGGGACUGAGACACGGCCCAGACUCCUACGGGAGGCAGCAGUGGGGAAUUUUGGACAAUGGGCGCAAGCCUGAUCCAGCCAUGCCGCGUGAGUGAAGAAGGCCUUCGGGUUGUAAAGCUCUUUCGGCGGGGAAGAAAUCGCACUGGUUAAUACCUGGUGUGGAUGACGGUACCCGAAUAAGAAGCACCGGCUAACUACGU
rnacentral:rRNA from 1 species